UCUCCGUAGGUGAACCUGCGGAGGGAUCAUUACAGAGUUCAUGCCCUACCGGGUAGAUCUCCCACCCUAUGUUAUUAUUACUUUGUUGCUUUGGCGGGCCGUUAGGCUCCGGCCCGACUACCGGCCCCGGCUGGUAAGCGCCCGCCAGAGGACCCAAAACCCUGAAUAUUAGUGUCGUCUGAGUACUAUAUAAUAGUUAAAACUUUCAACAACGGAUCUCUUGGUUCUGGCAUUCGAUGAAGAACGCAGC
rnacentral:misc_RNA from 1 species